CCGGUUGCCAGGCAACCACGAGGGAGAGAGGAGAGGCCCUAUUCCAGCGAUAGGGCCCUGCUGGCUGGGGAGGGUGGCAGGUGCGAGGGUGGCCGCCAGCUGCCUGCUCAGAGGAGAGCAGUGUCUGAGAGGGAGUGAGAUUGAGUUCGGAUGAUGGACAGGAGAAGCCUGGGAAAGAAGCACUAGCCUGACCAAUAAGGUAAUUCCCAGUUUGUCGGAUUGUGUUGGAGCCAGUCACCAUGAGGCCAGCGCUGCUCCGGCCGCCAGGCCAGGACACCUGCCUGCUGCGAGCGAGUCUGAGCUCUGACCUAGGCGUUCUCAUCGUCUUCCCCUGAGCCCCGCAUCCCUUUGUGGUGAGCAGCAAUCUCGGCACGGGAGCAGCCUGACUCCUGUCUAAAGAGGACACCUGCCAGCUGCAAAUGCCAGCCCCUCCUUAGCUGCUGAGAAGUCCAGACUGAGCUCUCCACCUGAGGGUCAGUCGUGGAGUUGGGAGUGCACCAUCCGUUAGUUACCUGGGAGACCCCUAUUCCCUGCACGGUGUCCUCCAGAGAAUGCUUGGGGAUUUCAUUCUCUAUUGUCUAUUAAAGCUCUGGAGUGUCUUAC